rnacentral:rRNA from 1 species
GACGAACGCUGGCGGCGUGCCUAAUACAUGCAAGUUGAGCGCUGAAGGUUGGUACUUGUACCAACUGGAUGAGCAGCGAACGGGUGAGUAACGCGUGGGGAAUCUGCCUUUGAGCGGGGGACAACAUUUGGAAACGAAUGCUAAUACCGCAUAAAAACUUUAAACACAAGUUUUAAGUUUGAAAGAUGCAAUUGCAUCACUCAAAGAUGAUCCCGCGUUGUAUUAGCUAGUUGGUGAGGUAAAGGCUCACCAAGGCGAUGAUACAUAGCCGACCUGAGAGGGUGAUCGGCCACAUUGGGACUGAGACACGGCCCAAACUCCUACGGGAGGCAGCAGUAGGGAAUCUUCGGCAAUGGACGAAAGUCUGACCGAGCAACGCCGCGUGAGUGAAGAAGGGUUUCGGAUCGUAAAACUCUGUUGGUAGAGAAGAACGUUUGUGAGAGUGGAAAGCUUAUCAAGUGACGGUAACUACCCAGAAAGGGACGGCUAACUACGUG